CCUACGGGUGGCAGCAGUGGGGAAUAUUGGACAAUGGGGGCAACCCUGAUCCAGCCAUGCCGCGUGUGUGAAGAAGGCCCUCGGGUUGUAAAGCACUUUCAGUGAGGAAGAACGCCUGGUGGUUAAUACCCAUCAGGAAAGACAUCACUCACAGAAGAAGCACCGGCUAACUACGUGCCAGCAGCCGCGGUAAUACGGAGGGUGCGAGCGUUAAUCGGAAUUACUGGGCGUAAAGCGCGCGUAGGUGGCUUGAUAAGCCGGUUGUGAAAGCCCCGGGCUCAACCUGGGAACGGCAUCCGGAACUGUCGAGCUAGAGUGCAGGAGAGGAAGGUAGAAUUCCCGGUGUAGCGGUGAAAUGCGUAGAGAUCGGGAGGAAUACCAGUGGCGAAGGCGGCCUUCUGGACUGACACUGACACUGAGGUGCGAAAGCGUGGGUAGCAAACAGGAUUAGAUACCCUUGUAGUC
rnacentral:rRNA from 1 species